AGUGAACGCUGGCGGUAGGCCUAACACAUGCAAGUCGAACGGCAGCACAGUAAGAGCUUGCUCUUACGGGUGGCGAGUGGCGGACGGGUGAGGAAUACAUCGGAAUCUACUUUUUCGUGGGGGGUAACGUAGGGAAACUUACGCUAAUACCGCAUACGACCUACGGGUGAAAGCAGUGGAUCUUCGGACCUUGCGCGAUUGAAUGAGCCGAGGUCGGAUUAGCUAGUUGGCGGGGUAAAGGCCCACCAAGGCGACGAUCCGUAGCUGGUCUGAGAGGAUGAUCAGCCACACUGGAACUGAGACACGCUCCAGGCUCCUACGGGAGGCAGCAGUGGGGAAUAUUGGACAAUGGGCGCAAGCCUGAUCCAGCCAUACCGCGUGGGUGAAGACGGCCUUCGGGUUGUAAAGCCCUUUUGUUGGGAAAGACAAGCAGCAGGUUAAUACCCCGCUGUUCUGACGGUACCCAAAGAAUAAGCACCGGCUAACUUCGUG
rnacentral:rRNA from 1 species